rnacentral:tRNA from 1 species
GCCAGCGUAGCUCAGUUGGUUAGAGCAGCUGUUUUGUAAACAGCAGGUCGUCGGUCCGAAUCCGACCGCUGGCUCCA